rnacentral:rRNA from 1 species
UAGUCUGCAACCCGACUACACGAAGCUGGAAUCGCUAGUAAUCGCGAAUCAGAAUGUCGCGGUGAAUACGUUCCCGGGUCUUGUACACACCGCCCGUCACACCAUGGGAGUCGGGAAUGCCCGAAGCCGGUGACCUAACCGAAAGGAAGGAGCCGUCGAAGGCAGGUCUGAUAACUGGGGUGAAGUCGUAACAAGGUAAC